rnacentral:lncRNA from 1 species
UGAUUCUUAUGAAAUUUUUUUUCAUUAAUCACACUGCUGUGGCCAUAGACUCUUGGACUUAACUUCUUAAAAUCUCAUGAGACUACUCUUUUCUAUUAAGAUCGAUAGAUUCCAUCUUGAUAUGCAUCCUACUCUUACAGUGGACCAACUAUCGUCAACAUCCACUAUAAGAGCUCAUUGAGACCAUGUUUAUAUGUCAGUCAAACUCCAGCAGCCUUACUGCGAGCAGUCAUACCAUCACAGAUCAAAGGAUCAUUCACACAACUACAGCAUCG